AUGUCACCAUGACGAGCAGUGCAGGCAGC
rnacentral:piRNA from 1 species